UACGUAGGGGGGCAAGCGUUGUCCGGAUUUAUUGGGCGUAAAGAGCGUGUAGGCGGCCAUACAGGUCAGCUGUGAAAACUCGAGGCUCAACCUCGAGACGUCGGUUGAAACCGUAUGGCUAGAGUCCGGAAGAGGAGAGUGGAAUUCCCGGUGUAGCGGGUGAAAUGCGCAGAUAUCGGGGAAGAACACCCGUGGCGAAGGCGGCUCUCUGGGACGGUACUGACGCUGAGACGCGAAAGCGUGGGGAGCGAACGAGG
rnacentral:rRNA from 1 species